rnacentral:lncRNA from 1 species
CAUCUUGACUAAUCUGCAAUGCCAAUUCUCUGCACCUUACUCCAGUGAGAGCCACAUAAAGUGAGGUGCAGACCUAGGGAAAUGGAAUCUCCACAGUGGAAACAGACAGAGUUGAGCAUUUGAAAAUGGAAACAAAGGAAAUUUGGAAGGAAAUGCAUGACUAUGAUAAGUCUUUUAUAUUCUCCUGAUCCAAGGGAGAUUUGCAGCUUACACAGAAGGAUAUAGAAGGAGAGG